rnacentral:rRNA from 1 species
AACGAACGCUGGCGGCAUGCCUAACACAUGCAAGUCGAACGAGACCUUCGGGUCUAGUGGCGCACGGGUGCGUAACGCGUGGGAACCUGCCCUUAGGUUCGGAAUAACUCCCCGAAAGGGGUGCUAAUACCGGAUAAUGUCUUCGGACCAAAGAUUUAUCGCCUUUGGAUGGGCCCGCGUUGGAUUAGCUAGUUGGUAGGGUAAAAGCCUACCAAGGCGACGAUCCAUAGCUGGUCUGAGAGGAUGAUCAGCCACACUGGGACUGAGACACGGCCCAGACUCCUACGGGAGGCAGCAGUGGGGAAUAUUGGACAAUGGGGGAAAGCCUGAUCCAGCAAUGCCGGGUGAGUGAUGAAGGCCUUAGGGUUGUAAAGCUCUUUGACCCGGGAUGAUAAUGACAGUACCGGGAGAAUAAGCUCCGGCGAACUCCGUG